AUAUUCUGUAGCAAGGUUAACCGAAUAGGGGAGCCGGAGGGAAACCGAGUCUUAAUUGGGCGUUAAGUUGCAGGGUAUAGACCCGAAACCCGGUGAUCUAGCCAUGGGCAGGUUGAAGGUUGGGUAACACUAACUGGAGGACCGAACCGACUAAUGUUGAAAAAUUAGCGGAUGACCUGUGGCUGGGGGUGAAAGGCCAAUCAAACCGGGAGAUAGCUGGUUCUCCCCGAAAGCUAUUUAGGUAGCGCCUCGUGAAUUCAUCUCCGGGGGUAGAGCACUGUUUCGGCUAGGGGGCCAUCCCGGCUUACCAACCCGAUGCAAACUGCGAAUACCGGAGAAUGUUAUCACGGGAGACACACGGCGGGUGCUAACGUCCGUCGUGAAGAGGGAAACAACCCAGACCGCCAGCUAAGGUCCCAAAGUCAUGGUUAAGUGGGAAACGAUGUGGGAAGGCCCAGACAGCCAGGAUGUUGGCUUAGAAGCAGCCAUCAUUUAAAGAAAGCGUAAUAGCUCACUGGUCGAGUCGGCCUGCGCGGAAGAUGUAACGGGGCUAAACCAUG
rnacentral:rRNA from 3 species